AUGGAAUGUAUGGAUUGUCACUA
rnacentral:siRNA from 1 species